AGACUUGGCAAACGGAGUAACCAGAACAGCUGCAGGAUUCACGUCCAGCGUUUUAUGUGAUGAGGUCAUCAAAACGGGAGCAACAUGAAUUGGGACACAUGCCCAAGAGAAAGCACACGCAGAAAAAACAAACGCAGCUCUUCCAGCUAUCUGCAUACAUGACCAAAAACGAUUCCUCUUCAUCUGACAGAGCCUGGUUUAAGGCGAACCUCCCUCUCUGGGUUUGAGGCACGUCUGCCUCCUACAAUUUAUGAGAGCACGUGGGCGCUACAGGUGAACACCAGCAGGCAAAUCCACUGGAAACACAACCAGUGGAGUGGAGACAGUUCCUCAUAGUGCAUUGUUAAGCUGCGGUGAAUACUGUAAAUGCUCGAACUGUGCAUUCUGUGUUAUUUGUAUUCAUGUAGAAUCUAAUAGAAUAAUACAAGCCCAGCACAGGAGGAAACAUGUUUGAAUGAGUCACCGAAUAAAAUGACCACAUGCGUAUGAA